CACGUAGUUAGCCGUGGCUUUCUGAUUAGGUACCGUCAAGGCGUGCACAGUUACUUACACGUUUGUUCUUCCCUAAUAACAGAGUUUUACGAUCCGAAGACCUUCAUCACUCACGCGGCGUUGCUCCGUCAGGCUUUCGCCCAUUGCGGAAGAUUCCCUACUGCUGCCUCCCGUAGGAGUCUGGACCGUGUCUCAGUUCCAGUGUGGCCGAUCACCCUCUCAGGUCGGCUACGUAUCGUUGCCUUGGUAAGCCGUUACCUUACCAACUAGCUAAUACGGCGCAGGUCCAUCUAUAAGUGAUAGCAGAGCCAUCUUUCACUAUCGAACCAUGCGGUUCGAAAUAUUAUCCGGUAUUAGCUUCGGUUCCCGAAGUUAUCCCAGUCUUAUAGUAGGUUACCCACGUGUUACUCACCCGUCCGCCGCUAACGUCAAAGGAGCAAGCUCCUCGUCUGUUCGCGUCGUACUUGCAUGUAUUAGGCCACGCCCGCCAGCGUUCAGUCCUGAGCCACGGAUCAAACCU
rnacentral:rRNA from 1 species